CGUCAACCAAUUUGUACUAAUGCUGAGAAAUUUAAUAAUGAGAUUGGAUUCAUUAUUCGGAAUCAUGGUACAUUUCAUUAUAAAGAGUGGAGAAUGGUCCCAGAAGAUGUGAGAGCUCCAUUGCGACACUAUCUUUUGGAACAUUUUGACAUCAACUUGAAUGAUGAGACAACUAAAAAAUGCAUUGAUGAGCAAAUGAGAAAAGCUUGAAAGGGUCAUAAGUACAAGCCGCACUUAUAUUUCAAAGAAAUUGGAGGAGAAAAUGAUCUUGAGAUGGCCAAGAGCAAACGUCAUCCAAACUUAAAAGAAGAACAUCAAGAAGAUUGGAUGAUUUUGUGUGAUCGUUGGUGUUCUCCUGAAUUUAAGGAAAGAGCAUUAAAGAAUACUACCAAUCGAUCAAAGAGGAAAUGGGAGUCGAAAAAUGGUUCAGUCUCCACACCACGACAUCACAUUCGACGUGGAAUGGUGUUAACUUCUCCUACCGGUCAAAUUGAGACAUGGCGUCUAAAGCAUUAUGAUGCUGAGAAAGGAUGGACUGGAAUAGAGCU